rnacentral:lncRNA from 1 species
CUGUUAUUCCGCUCUCUGCUCGGCCGGGACCCGCGCGGCUCCAGUGGCUCCCGGAGUCGGCCCCCGCACCUCCCUGCCCGGGCCUAGAGCCACCCCUAAGCCGAGGCCGGAGACGGAGCUGGAGCGGCUGUCGCAUCCCGGCCGGGCCUUCCCCAUCACCCCUUCCUCUAGCUGGACAUCUGGACCCGGGGCCCCGCACCGCCGGGGUUCCGGAAACCCUCCCCGCCCAACUCCGCGGCCCAGCCCCGCACGGCCCUCCUUCCAGACUCCCCUGCCCCUACUUCCGUCUACUCCUGGACCCCCGCCUCCUAUCCUUUUCUUCCCCCUCCCCAAGCCUGGACCCCGGAGGGAAGGAGGGGGGUGUGCGCCCUGCGCCCUUCCCGCCCCGCCCCCCGUGAUUCCCCCUGCAUGGCCGGCCCGGGUGGGGGGUGCGGGGGGCCCCGGGCGCCAUGCGGGGGGGUCACAAAGGGGGUCGCUGUGCCUGUCCCCGUGUGAUACGAAAAGUGCUGGCAAAAUGCGG